GCAAUCACAAAAAUGAUCAAGGAUGAUUACUUUAACCUUUGACAUUUCUGUUUUUAUAUCGAUAAAAAGGUCAAAAACAAACAGCUGUAUAUCAUUACAGCAUAAGUACCAGAAGGCGUGGUGUGCUUCUGAAUAUUGUCUUUGAAAGUAUAAGGACUUGCAGUCAAAAAGUUGAGCACCACUGUUGUAGUUUUGUUGCACAUAUAAGAUGACGUACAUAGUGUAGAUCUCACAGAAUGACUCUGCUGCUCUCAGAGCUCAGCUUCAGUCAGCUCAGCUUCCUGUCCUAUUCAAUGCAGCAGGGGCCAAGGAAGUGAAUAAGAAGAUGCUGCGUUUACUCAUUCUGUUUUUUAUUCUUCAAGGUGCAGCUGCAACAUCAGAAGACACAGAAGGAAAUUCUUCAGGAGAUAAUAUCAGUGACGAUGAGGAUGGUGACGAUGUAGUGAAGCCAAGGCAUCCUGUAUAUGCAGGUCCUGAAACUCCUGGAGCAAGUCCUGGAUCAGAUAAAUCCACAGGAGACGAUGAAGCUAAUGGAGGUGGAACAUUGGUAAUCAUCAUAGCUGCCGUUAGCGUCAUAGUUCUGGCCAUUGGAGGUAUUGUAGCUAUUGUCCUCCUCAGACGCUACUUGCAAAGCCGAGAACAGGGGUAA
rnacentral:lncRNA from 1 species